GAUGAACGCUAGCGGCAGGCUUAAUACAUGCAAGUCGAGGGGCAGCAUAAGUAGCAAUACUUGAUGGCGACCGGCAAACGGGUGCGGAACACGUACGCAACCUUCCUUUAAGUGGGGAAUAGCCCGGGGAAACCCGGAUUAAUACCCCGUAAUAUUAUGAUGUGGCAUCACUUUAUAAUUAUAGAUUCAUCGCUUAAAGAUGGGCGUGCGCCUGAUUAGGUAGUUGGCGGGGUAACGGCCCACCAAGCCUGCGAUCAGUAACUGGUGUGAGAGCACGACCAGUCACACGGGCGACUGAGACACGGGCCCGACUCCUACGGGAGGCAGCAGUAAGGAAUAUUGGUCAAUGGACGCAAGU
rnacentral:rRNA from 1 species